UACGGGGGGGGCAAGCGUUGUUCGGAAUUACUGGGCGUAAAGGGCUCGUAGGCGGCCAACUAAGUCAGACGUGAAAUCCCUCGGCUUAACCGGGGAACUGCGUCUGAUACUGGAUGGCCUGAGUUCGGGAGAGGGAUGCGGAAUUCCAGGUGUAGCGGUGAAAUGCGUAGAUAUCUGGAGGAACACCGGUGGCGAAGGCGGCAUCCUGGACCGAUACUGACGCUGAGGAGCGAAAGCGUGGGGAGCAAACAGG
rnacentral:rRNA from 1 species